GAUGAACGCUGGCGGCGUGCCUAAUACAUGCAAGUCGAGCGAACAGAUGAGGAGCUUGCUCCUCUGACGUUAGCGGCGGACGGGUGAGUAACACGUGGAUAACCUACCUAUAAGACUGGGAUAACUUCGGGAAACCGGAGCUAAUACCGGAUAAUAUAUUGAACCGCAUGGUUCAAUAGUGAAAGACGGUUUUGCUGUCACUUAUAGAUGGAUCCGCGCCGCAUUAGCUAGUUGGUAAGGUAACGGCUUACCAAGGCAACGAUGCGUAGCCGACCUGAGAGGUUAACCGCCAACACUGAACCGAGAACACGUCCCAGCCUCCUACGGAAGGAAGAGGAGGGAAACUUCCGCAAUUGGCGGAAACCCGACGGGACAACCGCGCGGUAGGGAAUAAAGGCCUCGGAUCGGAAAACCCCUUUUAUAGGGAAGAACAAAUGUGUAAGUAACUAUGCACGUCUUGACGGUACCUAAUCAGAAAGCCACGGCUAACUACGUG
rnacentral:rRNA from 1 species